rnacentral:lncRNA from 1 species
GGUAGGUAGGUGUGUGUCUUCACUACCCCACAUCCCCACUGAAGAGCAACCAGGAAUUCAUGGGUGCACCUGUUUCACAGCCUAGGUAGGAGGAGAAAGGGGCCCCCAAGGGGGAUGGAACCCACUCUUAAUGACUCCCAGAGUAAAUGGGAGCACAUGUGGGGAUGGCUGCCUUGAAGCAAAAUCAUAGCAUGGAGGUUAGAGAAAGCCUGGAUAUCUGUCCCACUGCCCCUCAGCUGCUUGAUUCCCCUUUGUAGACUAGGCACUUGCCCUGGGAGUCUCCUGAUGUCUAUAAAUAGGAACAGUCUCUGAGGCUGCUAUUCCACCCUGAAGCCUGGGCAUUCCCUCAUCCCUAUGCAGCCCUGAGAACCCCUCAAGGAUUCCCAGGAGUGGCACCCCCAAACUUCUCUGCCGGGACAAGGAAAUACCACUGCCUUGCUCUGUCUUCCAAUAUGGCUAUCAGUUGGGACCCUGCCUCAAGCCCCAUUGCAGUCCCAUAUACAUCUGAGGUAGGCUUUGCAGGUACAGCAAAGUCUUGUGGGACUUACACGUUCCACUCAGAUCAGCGAAGAGUCUGGUACAUGCCUACUAUUGUCCAUGGGACAUGGGACCUGGGAACAAAGAAUGGAGAGAAUGAAUCAGAACAUGGAGAAAGCAAGCCUGAGGCUACAAGUCUAGCCUCCAGCUUCCACCCCAGGACGUCAUCAAGCCAGCCUUGACACUACAGAACACCCAUCUCCUCCUUCCCCAUCGCUGUUUCUCUGGAUGGAACUCUUCCUGUGAUCUCAUUGGCCCCCAUCAGUGGCUCCUUGAAGCUGGUUUCAUGGCUGCUUGCAUUGUACUGAGGAAAAAACAGAGGCUUGGAGCUGAAAGGCCACUUCUGGUCACAGCUGGGCCAUGCACUUGGAGUUGUCUGGCAACAAAGUCUAGAUUCUUGGCAACUCUGCCAAGCUGCUGGCUGCCUGGCUUGGAGUUUAAGUGGCUCAUGGGCACUCUUUCCUCUCGUUUGUAAGCUGUGUCGGGGACCCCACAUCGCAGGAGUCAGUGAGGGAUUCUGGCACUGCCACUGACUCAGAGUUGCAUCCGAGGUGCCACUGGGACUUCUGGAUCUCCCUCAGCGUGGAGGCUUCUGGGCAAAGUCCCCACCUCCAAGCUGUCUCAGAUAUAGUCCCUGCUUGGUCUCCUUCUUCCAAACUUGCUGCCACUAAAAAUAGGAGCCUCACUGGAGCUGCUCAAAGAGGCCAGUGUGCCCCCCUGGCUCACGGAAUUCUUAGACAACAGCCAUUGCGCAUAGCCAUCAAAUCUGGGACACUCAGAAUUUCAGAAACAGGACACCUGGGACCCUCAGACCCACAUCUCUAGGCUGUGCUGGGACUGGUUAUCCACUAAUUGGUCACUUUCUCCUGAUUAGCUCUCAGCUGUGACUGUGUCUAGGAUAGACCCUGUUUCUUAGGGUUGUUUUCCCAGCUCCCACUGUCUUCUCCAGUGCCUCAUCAUAACUUUUGUCCUUAAACCCCAGAGUAUCCCUGCUAGGAGCAGGGAGUGGGUCUGCCUCCAUGGUUCUCAAAUGGGGACAGUCAGGUCCCACAGGGGACACUUUGGAGGAUGUGUGCAGACAUUGUCAGUUGGCAUGAUUGCAGGAUAGGUAGGAAUUACUGUCCCAUGGGCGAGUAGAGGCCAAAGACAUCGUGGAUUAUCCUACAGUGUGCCGUACUGCCUCAGCCCACAGAAGGACCCUCCCCCAAGGGUCAAGACUAAGACCACUCUGCUCUAGGAUAUGCAAAUUUUUGUACCUCUGCCCCACAUUUUGAGGCCAUGCCAUUGUAACAGCCCUUUUGUCAGGCUCAGCAGACAGACCAUACCUUCCUGACCACUCCCUCUCAUUUUCAUUCUUCUAUCCCCAGUGGUAGGCUUUUAAUUACCAGGGAAAAUUGGAUGGUGGGGUAUUGGAAGAAUCCGUGCCAGCCCUCGCCCUUUCUGGACCAUCCUCAAAUUGAGGUUGAUCCAGCAAUUGCAUCUGUCAGGCCCUGGCCAGGGCACAAGUCCCCCAGCGUGUUAACCUUGGCCCAGGCAAUUGGCUUACUCCCUGCUUGGCAUGCUUGCCAUGUCAGGCAAGCGUAGUGGAUAGAGAGGCACAGGCCAGGAUUCCCGCAGUGGCUCCAGGCAUUGGCUCUACAGGCGGAUAAUGGAGAGUUGGCUCUAUCUGUGUUGUUUCGGGGUGGUGAGCAUUCCCAAAAAGAGAUUCCAUUCUAGGAUUUAGGGUCCAGAGGCAGGCCAUGUGUGGUUCAGGGUGGCCAGGCUUCCCAUUCAUUAUCCGGCAUGUGUUUGUUGAGUAUUUGCAUGCCCGAUGCCGGAAUGCUUCCAUGAAUGAGCUGCAAAUGCCCCAGUUCUCAGGGGGCUUAUGUGCUUACAACGCACCCAGACAUGCAGCUAUCCACCGAGGGAACCUGGCAGUACCUGGGAGAGCUAGGAAAUAAAUGAAGUAGGUGCCAGGCAUGGUGGCACAGGCCUAUAAUCAGCACUCAGAAGGCAGAGGCAGGAGGAUGAUGGAUAUAAAGGUAGCUUGGGCUACAUAAAGAGUUCUAGACUAACUGGAGCUACAUAGCAAGCGUUGACUGAAAAAGAGCUAGACAAAGGCAGGUGUGGUGAUUUGUGCCUGUCAUCCCAUCAGUCAGAAAGCAGAGGCAGGAGUAUUGUGAGUUUAGAGGUCAGCUGGUCUCAAGAAAGACCCUGUCUCAGAAGCAAAAUGAAGACCAGGCAUAUGGGCACACACCUGUAGUCCCAGCACUUGGGAGGUAGAGGUAGGCAGAUUGGGAAUUCAAGGUCCUCCUCAGCUACAGAGUGAAUUUAAGGCCAGCCUGAGCUACAUGAGAUCCUGUGCCCACG